AUAGCCACCUGCAGGGACGUUUCCUUCAACCUCGGUCUCAACGGCCGAAUGUCUGCUACAAUUGGGAACCUCGCGCAGCUCACCACGCUGAUCCUGGCAGGCUGUAGCUUCACCGGAGGCAUCCCACAACAACUCGGCAACCUGCAGUAGCUCUCGCUCCUGGCGUUGAAUUCAAACAAGUUUACUGGCACAAUACCCCCUACGCUCGGUUUACUCUCGAACCUCUUCUGGCUGGAUCUGGCUGACAAUCAGCUCACUGGAUAUAUCCCGGUCUCCACAGCAACAACGUUGGGGCUCGACCAACUUACCCACAUGAAGCACUUCCACUUCAACAAGAACCAGCUGUCUGGAACACUCACAGGCCUCUUCAACUCCAACAUGAGCCUGAUCCACAUACUGUUCGACAGCAAUCAACUGACUGGCCCGAUACCAGAGGAGCUAGGGGGCAUUUCAUCGCUCCAAGUUCUGUAAGUAUCU